rnacentral:ncRNA from 2 species
CUCUGAAAAGCGGACACGAGAUUGUGUCCCGCCGACGGUGCAAGUCGGCCGCUGGCGUCCGGGGUGCCCCCUGGGCGUGGUGGCCGGCGAAGCUCUCAGGCUCAUGACAGAG